rnacentral:rRNA from 1 species
GAUCAUAGCUCAGGAUGAACGCUAGCUACAGGCUUAACACAUGCAAGUCGAGGGGCGAGCGGGAAGUCAGCUUGCUGACUUUGCCGGCGACCGGCGCACGGGUGAGUAACACGUAUCCAACCUUCCCGUUACUCUGGAAGUAGCCUUUCGAAAGAAAGAUUAAUACCGGAUAGUAUCGAGAGAUUGCAUGAUAACCCGAUUAAAGAUUCAUCGGUAACGGAUGGGGAUGCGUUCCAUUAGG